CAGUCGCCGCGGUAAUACAGAGGGUGCGAGCGUUAAUCGGAUUUACUGGGCGUAAAGCGUGCGUAGGCGGCUUCUUAAGUCGGAUGUGAAAUCCCUGAGCUUAACUUAGGAAUUGCAUUCGAUACUGGGAAGCUAGAGUAUGGGAGAGGAUGGUAGAAUUCCAGGUGUAGCGGUGAAAUGCGUAGAGAUCUGGAGGAAUACCGAUGGCGAAGGCAGCCAUCUGGCCUAAUACUGACGCUGAGGUACGAAAGCAUGGGGAGCAAACAGGAUUAGAUACCCCAGUAGUCCCUGUCUCUUAUCC
rnacentral:rRNA from 1 species